rnacentral:rRNA from 1 species
GACAGAGGGUGCAAACGUUGUUCGGAAUUACUGGGCGUAAAGCGCGUGUAGGCGGCCCUGCAAGCCGGGUGUGAAAUCCCACGGCUCAACCGUGGAAGUGCAUUCGAAACUGCAGGGCUAGAGUCCUGGAGAGGAAGGUGGAAUGCUUGGUGUAGAGGUGAAAUUCGUAGAUAUCAAGCGGAACACCGGUGGCGAAGGCGGCCUUCUGGACAGUGACUGACGCUGAGACGCGAAAGCGUGGGGAGCAAACAGG